UUAAAAGGCCGCGAUAUUUUGAUCGUGCUAAGGUAGCAUAAUCAUUAGCUUUUUAAUUGAAAGCUAGAAUGAAGGGUUGGAUGAAAAAGUAACUUUCUAUAUUUAAAUUUAAUAAAAUUUUAUUUUUAAGUUAAAAAGCUUAAAUUUUAUUAAAAGACGAGAAGACCCUAUAGAGUUUUAUAAAUUUUUAUUAUUUUUUAUUUAGUAUUACUAUAUUUAAUUUUAAAAAUUUAUUUAAUUGGGGUGAUUGAAAAAUUUAAUUAACUUUUUUUAUUUAAUUAUAUUGAUGUAUAAAUUUUUGAUCCUUUAUUUUUGAUUAUAAGAUUAAAUUACCUUAGGGAUAACAGCGUUAUUUUAUUAAAGAGUU
rnacentral:rRNA from 1 species